rnacentral:lncRNA from 1 species
CUCUGGGUUUAGUUAGGCCAGGGAGGAAUUGUUCAACAUUUUAACAGUAUGAGUGAUGGUAAAAACUGUGAGGUAUACUGAUGGUUCCCUGCCGAAUCUGACAGAAUAACCAAAGGCAAAAAUGCAGUGAAUGUACAAGCAAUUUGAAAGCAGAAAGGGCAAACCUGGCUGAGCAAGUCCAGCAUUUUCUCCCAGGCUUUGCUGUGAUCUGAUACCUCUGGGUGACAUCGAGACUAAAAGUAAACAAAGAGCAUUCAGAAGGAUCAGCGGGAUAAUGAGUGGGGUUCAGGGGAGGCCUGUGAUAGCAGUGGCCGAGGUCACAGGGACAUGUUGCCAUUCCCUAUCAUUUCUAUGUAUCCCUUUCAUCCUCAGCCGAUGAUGGAAGAGAUCCAAGAUCUUAGACUUUGCUGGGCGUCUCAAGUGAGGGGCAGAAGAGUGGAGUAGGAGAGGGAGGGCUCCCCCUUCUUCUAUAUUCAUGGGGAGCUCAUUGUGUCCCUUCAUCUUCCAGGGUAGCAUGGAUAGUAGUUGGUAUCCGGAAAGCCAAAGCUCACAGGCAAAAGGCCUGCACCUUCUCUGUACGGACAGCCUGGGCGUUCUUGGGCUAAUUAGUGAGUGUCUGUGUGUGUGUGGGGGGGGGCAUGUGUCUUUGUGUAUAUGUGUAUGAGGUGUAUGUAGGUAUGGGGGCCUCUGUGUGGGGGGUGGCAUGUGUCUUUGUGUCUAUGUGUAUGAGGCAUAUGUGGUGAGGUGUAUGUAGGUGUGGGGGCCUCUGUGGGUGUGGGGAGGCAUGUGUCUUUGUGUCUAUGUGUAUGAGGUGUAUGUAGGUGUGUGUGGGGGGCAUGCAUCUUUGUGUCUAUGUGUAUGAGACAUAUGUAGGUGUGUAUGUGUGGGCAUGUGUCUUUGUGUUUAUGUGUAUGAGACAUAUGUAGGUGUGUGUGGGGGGCAUGUGUCUUUGUGUCUAUGUGUAUGAGACAUAUGUAGG